UUUCCGUAGGUGAACCUGCGGAAGGAUCAUUCAUAAUAAAGUGUUUUAUGGCACUUUUUAAAAAUCCAUAUCCACCUUGUGUGCAAUGUUAGAUCUCGUCAAUCUUGGCGAGAUUUUUAUACAUCAACUCAUUCUUUAACUAAUUUGUCUGAAAAAUAUUAUGAAUACUUAAUUCAAAAAACAACUUUCAACAACGGAUCUCUUGGCUCUC
rnacentral:misc_RNA from 1 species